UACGUAGGGGGCUAGCGUUGUCCGGAAUCAUUGGGCGUAAAGCGCGUGUAGGCGGUUCGGUAAGUCCGCUGUGAAAGUCGGGGGCUCAACCCUCGGAUGCCGGUGGAUACUGUCGAGCUUGAGUACGGAAGAGGCGAGUGGAAUUCCUGGUGUAGCGGUGAAAUGCGUAGAGAUCGGGAGGAACACCUAUUGCGAAGGCAGCUCGCUGGGACGUUACUGACGCUGAGACGCGAAAGCGUGGGGAGCAAACAGG
rnacentral:rRNA from 1 species